AUUGAACGCUGGCGGCAUGCCUUACACAUGCAAGUCGAACGGUAACAGGUCUUCGGAUGCUGACGAGUGGCGAACGGGUGAGUAAUACAUCGGAACGUGCCCGAUCGUGGGGGAUAACGGAGCGAAAGCUUUGCUAAUACCGCAUACGAUCUACGGAUGAAAGCAGGGGACCGCAAGGCCUUGCGCGGACGGAGCGGCCGAUGGCAGAUUAGGUAGUUGGUGGGAUAAAAGCUUACCAAGCCGACGAUCUGUAGCUGGUCUGAGAGGACGACCAGCCACACUGGGACUGAGACACGGCCCAGACUCCUACGGGAGGCAGCAGUGGGGAAUUUUGGACAAUGGGCGAAAGCCUGAUCCAGCCAUGCCGCGUGCAGGAUGAAGGCCUUCGGGUUGUAAACUGCUUUCGUACGGAACGAAAAGCCUCUUUCUAAUAAGAGAGGUCAUGACGGUACCGUAAGAAUAAGCACCGGCUAACUACGUGACAGCAGCCGCCGUAAAAC
rnacentral:rRNA from 1 species